rnacentral:lncRNA from 12 species
AUGAAACCUCAAACCAUGAUGAUAUCAAACUCAGGUCACGUGUGGAGGAAAACAGGUCAUCUGAAACUUUGUGUUUGAUAACUUGAGUUAGCCAUAUUGCCCAUUCAUUAUUCAUCAUGCUUCUUUUCAAAGGUCCUAUCAGGUGUCAGGUGAUGUUUUAGAGGUCCUUCAACCAGAGCAGGACAUCUAUAACUUAUUUAACACUGUUCAUGGUUGCUGAGCAGCUUGUGUGACCGUCAGCAGAAGCAGCAGAUCCAAAGGUCAUCCAGUCACCGCAGGUGAACUCAUGUGGAUGUCUGGUGAUUUCUUUGAAGUGUUAUCCCUCCGUCUGCGGGAAUGACUUCCAUAUGUCACCUAAAAGACCACCCAGAGUCCAUUACGUGCAGUGAACUGAAGUGAGGUGUGCAGACGAUCAAUAACUCGGACAAUCGCUCAACCUGACGUGUGCAUGACCUCAGAAACCCGAGAGCUUGAUCCCUGUAAGAGCUGCUGAACUCCUGGUAAGUUAGUGACUGAGUGCGCAACACUUAAGCUGUGAAAUGAAAGGAAACAGUAU